CUGGCGGCGUGCUUUCAAACAUUAGCAAGUCGUAACGAGUUUAAUUUUUGUAAGCUUUGCUUUUAGAAUUUAACUUUAGUGGCGAUUGUGAGUAACGCGUGAGUAAUCUGCCUAUCACAGGGGGAUAACAGAGGGAAACUUCUGCUAAUACCGCAUAAGACCACAGGAUGGCAUCAUCAAGGGGUCAAAGGUUAGAUCUGGUGAUAGAUGAGCUUGCGUAUCAUUAGCUAGUUUGGUGAGGGUAAAGGCCCACCAAGGCGACGAUGAUUAGCCGAUCUGAGAGGAUGACCGGCCACACUGGGACUGAGAUACGGCCCAGACUCCUACGGGAGGCAGCAGUUAGGAAUAUUUGGGCAAUGGAGGAAACUCUGACCCAGCAACGCCGCGUGAAGGAAGAAGGUUUUCGGACUGUAAACUUCUGAUCUAAGGGAAAAAGAAAGUGAUGGUACCUUAGGAGAAAGCCACGGCUAACUACGUGCCAGCAGCCGCGGUAA
rnacentral:rRNA from 1 species